UAAUAAACCAAAUAAUUUCCCCCAUAUAUUCCUCUAAACCACAACUUAACCAUUUCUGCUUUCAACACAAUAUACAAUUAAUAGUAUCUCAAUUAUUACAAUUCCCUAGUUAAAUAGAGCUUUUUUCUUUUGUGUUUUAAAAUCUUGAACCUCCUCUUUUGCCCUAAAUUUCCCAUUGUUUGCAGUUUUGCACCUAUCUUUUUUGGUGAGGAAAAAGAAAUCUCUCUCUGCCUCAUUUUGUCACGUUGCAGCAAAGACCCUGCUUUACUUUCAGUUUCGCUUUUUCAGCAUAGCUAGGGGAAAAAAAUCUGCUCCACAAAUUUACCUCUUUGCAGCUAGCUAGCAACAGAGCCCUCUGCAAAACAGCUGAGAGCAAAUCAGCUGAGAGUCGGGACGCUGAUCAAAUCAACUUAUGGUAAUUAACCUAUGCUUAAGCUGAAAGGGGCUGUUUUUUUCUAUUUUUGCAGGCACCGGUCUAUGCAUUUGUUUUCUUUUAACACUGAUCAGCUGUAGGGCGGCCCUUCGAAGCCCCGCAGCAAGAAUUUAAACAUUUUUUUUCCCUCUAGCCAUCAGCUGGGACUCAGGAGGCAGCAAUAGAUUGGGAGUGGGCGAGCCAGAAAGUUUUUUGAAGUCACAAUCUGGUCUAUAUUUGAACGAAUAGUUCCCUCUAGUCCUAGAGUGACCUCUUUGCCUUCUUCUUUCAGAGUAUGUAAAUCUUCUGAUUCCUGAUCAAGUACCAAAUGAGAGACGCAGGUUCAUGGACUGAUCCAGAUAGGAACCAGGCCGCGAGGCUGGAGGUGAUCUGAAGGCACGACUUCCACCUCCAGGCAUGCGGAACCACAACAGUCUUGGGCACAUACAGUUUUAAGGAGAAGGCUUGUUUCUGCUGCUUUUGGCAAAAAGGAAAAACAGAUUGAUAGAAUCAAAGCCAAAAGCCACGGUGCAACAAAGAACUCAGCUGGGUGAAGGCAAAUUCCAGGUCAAGCAGUCCAAAACCAAACUGCAGAUUUAUGAUCCCAAACCAAUGGAAGGAUGAGGUCUUGGUGAAUGAGCCCCGGUUGUAAAGAACUGGAUUCCAAACCAAAGGCAUGGUAUGAGAGGCCACGUGUUUAAAUUGCUCCUAGCAACUUAAGGCUGUUUUCAUGAGACUUAAAUCUCCUGCCCACUGUGCACAACUGUACCUUAAGCUUGAGUGGUUCGUUCAGCAUCUUGAUACUUCCUCAUGAGCCGCUGACUUCAGCAGGAUGCAGAGAUCUUGGGGGGAAUAACCGUUAUGAAGCAGGCAGUGUCGUAGUUGAGUCUGACUCUGAGGGCUGACAUCAGGGACUCCACAGACUAAAAUCACUAAAGCCAAGUAAAGCAUUUUCGUACUGCAGUGUUACUAAGGUCUAAGACCCUGCUUACUUGCUGCAUUGUACAUUCUAAAAAGUACAUAAAUACUUUAUGUACAGUUAUGGAAGCCAUCUCUUUCUUAGAGAACUUUCAGAUGUUUUUUCGUUGGUUGAUAACUUUGUAAUGGCUGAAAUGGAUUUUUCAACCCAUUCCUGAGGGGGUCAAGCAGUAAGUGGUUGGGCCUUCAAACGCAAUAUGACUGAGGCAUAUCUUGACCCAAUCCUUGAUUUCUUCCUCAAAUUCUUCCAGAUAUUUCUGUUGGUGUUUUAUCCAGGCAUGUAGGAUCCAUGGUGCUAGGGAGGGCUUGUUUGGUUUAUAAAUAUCUUUUUUCAAAGUUUUCAGGCAUUCAUUAAGCCACCCCAAGAGUUUUUUCCUUGAUUGCUUUGAUCUUUUAUUCUGUAGAUUUUGUAAUGCGACUUUCAGCCAUUGUAUUUUUAUGUCAGCUCCGAGACCAUGCUUCUUUUUGUCACAAUAUUCCCACUGGAUUUUUAAUUCUUUGCAUACAGUUUUUGUCUUGGAAGUCUUUGAUGGGUCUGCUUUGAUGUCUCUAGUUCUGUAUAACACUGGGCAAUUGUUGUUAUUGCGUAGUUGUUUCUCUCUAGAAAAAUCAGAAGGUUAUAUAUGAGUAGAAGGAGACAAGAGCAACUUUGGGCUUGUAUUGAGGAUUGAUACCUUCCUCCCUCAUCACAUAUAGGAUUGACCCACAAUUUUGAACUCUGCAGAUCCACUGGGAAUUGUGCCUAAUUGCCCCACCAGACAUUUGUGGCAGGAUUACUAGGACUGAAGGGGAAGCAUAAUUUAUUUCUUAUAUUUCCAAUGAAUUUACUAAGAAUAAUUAAUUUCUCCUUGUCAAUUAUAAUUUGUCUAGGAUGUUUAGAACUGGGUGAAAAGAGUCAACUCUUAUUUUCCCCCAACCUUGUUCCAGGCAAUGUAAUUCAAUCCAAAACAUUGCCAGAAAGCAAGGUGGUGACAACAUUAGGCUUACGCAACGUGUUGCUGUUCUUCUCUUCUUGCUUCCAAGGCAGGAAGUUUUAGAUCUUCUCCCUGCAAUAUGGGGAAAACGCCCUAUAUUAAAAAGAUAAAUUUACUGACAGUGAUUAAAGACAAUUUUUUCUAACAACAGGCUCGGGGUGGAUUUUGACUGUUAUUUAUUCAUCCUUAAAUCUUAGGUACCAACUGAUGCCACUGUUUGGUGGUAUAGGGAACAUUUCUGAAAUACUGGAAAAAGAUAAAAUAGCGGUCCUUAGUGAUAUUAAUGAGGUAUUUCGGGUUUUUACUAAUUAUGCAAAGAGAUAUAACCACCCACGAGAAGUACAUAUUAGGUUUAACAAGUCGGUGUGGGAGGAGAUCUAUAAGAAAUCUCGGGACCGAGCUGUAAUAUUUAGGGGAAAACAGAUUUCAGUGCUGAGGCAAGUUCCAAGACGGGUUAGGGAAAUCAGAAGGAAUUACCAGCCUUUAACGCUACAUCUGAGGAAGAAUGGGAUUAUGUAUAGGUGGUUAUUGCCAGAAGGUCUCAUGUUUACGUGGAAUGAUAGGAAAGUGAAAAUAGAAAACCGCCGGGAUGCUCAGGAUUUUUAUGAACACAAUUUUAAAUCCACACAAUUAGAGCUGGAAUUAGAAAGGGAGGAGGAGAGUAGAAGUUCAGAGGAAUUGCAGGAAGAAAAUAGUGUGGGAAACCAAGAAGAAAGGAAGGAGGAGGGGAAAUUAGAGGAAAAAGGAGGGUGAGGCAGAAAGAUGGUGUUAUGAGAAACCCGGCAAACCAAGAAAAAAGUAUUAGGAAAAUAGGACUAAUAGGAGGAGGGGAAGAAAGGUGGUGAUGGGGGAAGAGGUGCGACUCAUUUCUUUGAAUGUUAAUGGUUUAAAUAUUCCCUCUAAAAGAAGGAAAAUACUAAAUUUAGCGAAACUUAAUUAUGAUAUUACUUGCCUUCAAGAAAUUCAUAUUAAAAAAAUUCAUGAGAAACUUCUGUUGUGUUCAAGACUUGGGAAGAUGUAUCAUUCAUCGGCAGAUAAGAGGAAACGGGGGGGGCGGUAUAUGUGAAGGAUCACUUAAAUUCUAAAUAAAUUUUUAAAGAUGAAUAGAAUUAGAAAUAAGACAAUUGAAAUGUCUAUUGGUUACUAUUUAUCCUCCGAAUGGAAAUCAGAAGUCUUUUUAUGAACGUAUAUACAAAAAACUGAUUGAAUUAAAAUAUGACCAUGUUUGCCUGA